UCAAACCCACAAACCAUGAGAUCAUGACCUGAGCUGAAACCAAGAGUCAGAUGCUUAACAGACUGAGCCACCCAGAUGUCCCAUAAGUACUAAGAUUUAAAGCAUGGGGCAAGUUUUGGUAGGGAAUAAGACUUGAGAUAGGUUAUGAUAAAGAGAUCAUGGAAGACCAUAUGUGUUACUUCAAAGUUUGAAAUUUAACAUGUAAGUAAUGAGGGAUCAUGGAAAGGCUUUAGGGCUGGGUGUGGCAAAAUAAUACUUGUUUUUAGGCAGGUUUAUGAAGGAUGAAUAGAGUUAAGGUCAUGCGCAGGGAACACAUUAGGAGGUUCAUGGAAUAGGUCCAAAAGAUAUGAGGAGGGCGUUGGCAAGGGCUAUAGUAAUAGUGAGGGCAGGAUGGCCCAUCAUGGGAACCCUAUACAUACUGAGAUCCUCUCUCCUGGGACACAUGAAAAGGUAUCUAUCAGAGAGUGUUAAGGACCAAACUGUGUCCCUCACAAAUGCGUAUGUUGAAGCCCUAACCUCUGAUGUGACUAUCUUUGGAGAAAGGGUUCUUAAGGGGUAAUUAAGUUUAAAUGAGUUCAUAAGGAGGGGGUAAUUUAAACACUGGUGUUCUUAUAAGAGGAGGAAACAGCAUUGCAGAGUUCACUGUACCCCCUCCUUUUUUCCCCCUUAUUCUCUCCCUUCCUCCCUCUGCAUAUACGCAGAGGAAAGACCAUGUGAGAACACAGCAAGAUGGCUUGUUUUUGAGUCAGGAAAAGAAGUCUCAACAGAAACUAACCCUGAUGGAUGCCAUGACCUCGGACUUCCUUCCUCCAGAACUGUGAUAAAAUCGAUUCUGUUGUUUAAGGCACCUAGUCUGUCGUAUUUUGUUAUAGACAACAAACUGAUACAGAAGGUUUUUUGGCAGAUGUGAGAACUAAAAAAAAUAAUGCAGAAAGAAGACAGUAAGAAAAAGUAAUGAGGUAAAUAAAAAAAUGCAGAAAGAAGACAGUAAGAAAAAGUAACUAGGUAAACAAAGUCCUGAACAAGCAGAAACUGGGAGGCACAAAGGCAGGGGUAGAGGAAGCUUUCAUUUGUUAGCUUCAUAGCAUGAAAUAGAGGAGAUGCGGGAGUUCCUUGUGUAAGAGAGUUCUAGCACAAAGAGUGACAGACAUUUGUUUUUGAGACUAUUCUAGAGUUGUGAUUGGAUCAGCGGCACUGUUGCCCACCUACUAUUGUAUCCUGAAAUCUGUUUUUAUCCCAGAAGCUGUGUCACAUCCAAGGCUAUUUCUUGUGUGACUUGAUUCCAGGUAUGGUGUAAGAGCUAUGCCCCUGCCUUCCUCUGGCCUCAGCUGGAGCAGGCCUUUUCGCCUGCACGCUGAAAGUGCCAAAAAAAGCGUGGGAGGAAGAGGAGAUGUCAGGAUGAGCAGAAUGGAAAUAACGACUACAGACUGACUCAAGGAAUCUUGGGAUGUGAUGUGACAGAAUGGCCUUCGCCACCAGUGCAGCAAGCAUGAUGUGCAAAGAUGAAUGGAUUUGCAGCUGUAGGCAGUGUUGCGGUUUUAACAUUAUUACUCUCACCAUUGGGAAAACAUCUGUGGGAAAUAAGAAGAGAGGAUAGUUAUCUUAAUAAAACUGAGAAGAGAUCUUGAAAGAAACGCUGCUGUAUCCAUCUUUGGAGGGCUUUGUGAAGAGAACCAUCAUGUUUCAAUCAUUUUGACCAUAUAUUCCAAUAAAACUCUGAAAUAUCUCUUA